rnacentral:rRNA from 1 species
GACGAACGCUGGCGGCGUGCCUAACACAUGCAAGUCGAACGGAAACGGCCUGCUUUUGUGGUGUGCUCGAGUGGCGAACGGGUGAGUAACACGUGACUGACCUGCUCUCGACUUUGGGAUAACUUCAGCUAACUGGGGUUAAUACCGGAUCGGAGCUCCUGCUGCCCGGUGGGGGUGGGAUUGUUUCGGCGGUCGGGGAUAGGCUCGCGGCUUAUCAGCUUGUUGGUGGGGUAGUGGCUCACCAAGGCUUUGCCGGGUAGGCGGCAUGAGAGGGUGACCGGCCACAUGGGGACUGAGGGAGGGCCCAGACGCCUACAGGAGGCAGAAGGGGGGAAUAUUACACAAUAAGCGGAAGCCUAAUGCAGCGACGCCGCGGGUGGGAUGACGGCCCUCGGGUUGUAAACCGCGUACGCCUGUGACGAAGCGUGAGUGACGGUAAUGGGUAAAGAAGCACCGGCUAACUACGUG